GACGUAGGAUGCAAGCGUUGUCCGGAUUUAUUGGGCGUAAAGAGUUCGUAGGUGGUUUGUUAAGUCUGAUGUUAAAGACCGGGGCUCAACCUCGGAAGUGCAUUGGAUGCUGGCAGACUCGAGUAUGGUAGAGGCGAGUGGAAUUCCCAGUGUAGCGGUGAAAUGCGUAGAUAUUGGGAAGAACACCGGUGGCGCAAGCGACUCGCUGGGCCAUUACUGACACUGAGGAACGAAAGCUAGGGGAGCAAAUGGG
rnacentral:rRNA from 1 species